rnacentral:rRNA from 1 species
UACGGAGGAUACAAGCGUUAUCCGGAUUUAUUGGGUUUAAAGGGUGCGUAGGCGGAUUGAUAAGUUAGAGGUGAAAUGUCCGAGCUCAACUCGGGAACUGCCUCUAAUACUGUUGAUCUAGAGAGUAGAUGCGGUAGGCGGAAUGUAUGGUGUAGCGGUGAAAUGCUUAGAGAUCAUACAGAACACCGAUUGCGAAGGCAGCCUGCUGGACUGUAACUGACGCUGAUGCUCGAAAGUGUGGGUAUCAAACAGG